rnacentral:lncRNA from 10 species
GGCAAGAACAGGAAAGAGCCAGGCCCCUGCUUGCAUGCCAUCUCAGCAAAAUAAGCCUGGUGGUAACUUUUAAUUUUCAUUUUUUUUAAAUAGAGAUGGGGUCUCGCUAUAUUGCCCAGGUUGGUCUUGAACUCCUGGCCUCAAGCAGUCCUUCCCCCUUGGCCUCCCAGACUGCUGAGAUGACAGUCACGGGCCACUGUGCCAGGCCCCUCAUGCCAUGAGACUGCGUCUCUCAGACCUCCAACUGCAGAAAGCAUAAUUAACCUUUGGCCUCAGCUGCUGUACUCUGAAAUUCAUGACUACUGCAUUUGCUCAGAGACUACACUUUCCAUGGGCUGCUCCCAGCCAACAGCCAAGCACAUCAGGGAUACUAAGGCAGGCUCAUUCCUUUGAUAGAUGAUAUUGGAUACAAUGUCUGAAAGAGUCAAAGGCAAGAAUGGUAUGCAACAUGUGCAAUUCUAGUCUCAAGUCAGGUGGUUAGCUUCUGAAAAAACAUAGGCACAGAAUUUUUGUUGAGAUAGGGGAGCACCUGAUAUCAUGCACAGUGUGUGAUUUCAGCCAUGUAAGGCCAUGUUACAUAUUAGUGUAAACCUGGAUCAGGGCAGAAAUAAAAAGGUUCUCAGCCACAGGAA